UUCAUGACCUUGACCACACAGUCAAAUGUUACAGCUUGUUUAAUUUAAAUGUCUGCAUUGUUUCUGUCUUCAGACCAGCCGAUGCUUCACAUGGACCUCGGUCCUUGUGCACAGCUCUGACUGGUCCUGUCCCAGGCUGAUCUUGAGGAGGGUCGCGGCAACACCCAUGUCCAGUUCCAAGCCUCGCUUGGUAAGUAGGAAACUACACUGACAACAUAGAUAGGCCAUUAGCAUGCCUUCAAAACAACAUACAAAACUUUUAUAGUCUGAAUGAUUUUAAUUACAGAAAUGUGUUUAUGAAUUCGUCUUUUUUAAUUUAAAAUUUCUUUAACUGAAUUAUAUUCAUUAAUUUAUUUCAAAGAUGUGAAACCUUCCCCUGGAAAAAUCACUUCUGCAGACUUCAGAUUUUAUAAUUUGUCCGUUUUUCUGUCUCAGGUCCCAGUGGAGCAGUAUAGCCUCGUCCAGAACCAGGAUGAGUCCACUAGGCUGUUACUGAGGAAGGUCCCACCGAUGGACGGCCCUCCACAUUUCUCCUCCACCAAGCUCAUCUCCACCGGUCCUGAGCCCAGGUGGAAGGAGAAUCUUCGGCGCCUCAUGAAACCAGGUUCUAGCGUUCCCUCUUUCUCUCCCUCUUUCUCUCCCUCUCCUCCUGUCACUCCCUCUUUCUCUCCUUCCUCUCCCUCUCCUCCUGUCUCUCCCUCUUUCUCUCGUACAUUCGCUCCCUGUUUUUCUCCCACGUUCUCUCCUCCUGUCUCUCCUCCAGUCCCUCCUCCUGUCUCUGAGCCUGAGGACCCAGAGGAGCUCUCCAGACGGAAGAGACGGUGGAUGGCCCCACUGAGGACCACUCAGGAGGAACCUGCGACCCCUUCAUCCACCAAGCGCAUCUCCACCGGUCCUGAGCCCAGGUGGAAGAAGAAUCUUCGGCGCCUCAUGAGAUCAGGUUCCAGCGGUCUAACAUGACUCACAAGAGGCCUGCUGGACGGAUGAAAAACAACCGUCCAAGCAAGAGUCCUUUUGGGGGUCAUGUUGUGCCGUAGUUUAAUUUAGUUAUUAAGCUGUAGCACAGUAAAAGAUCAUUUUAGUUGUUUGCUAAGUUAGAUAAGUUAAGUUAGAGUUAGUUAAGUUGUUUAGUUAUGAUAAGUUAAGUUAGAAUAAGUUAAGUUGUUUAGUUAUAAGUUAAGUUAGAAUAAGUUAAGUUGUUUAGUUAAGAUAAGUUAAGUUAGAAUAAGUUAAGUUGUUUAGUUAUGAUAAGUUAAGUUAGAAUAAGUUAAGUUGUUUAGUUAUAAGUUAAGUUAGAGUAAGUUAAGUUUAAGUUAAGAUAAGUUAGUUGAGUUAAGAUUAGUUAGCCUCCAGUUCCUCAGCAGCAUCUCCUCUCCUCCUCCAAUAAAAGCCUCUAUCAUCCUGCUCUGCUAUAAAGUCAAUAACAACGAAACCCCUGCUCCUCUCCAGCUCUUCCUCUCGCACUGGCUCCAAAAAAAAACCAAAUAAGGUUGUUCGGUAAUUCAAUAUUAGUUAGUCUCCAGCUCCUCAGCAGCAUCUCCUCUCCUCCUCCAAUAAAAGCCUCCAUCAUCCUGCUCUGCUAUAAAGUCAAUAACAACGAAUCCCUCACUCCGCUCCAGCUCCUCCUCCCGCACUGGCUCCUAAAAAAACAAAAAAGCUUCAAUUAAAGGCAGAAAAAAACGACUUCACCUCGGACUCAUUGGGCAGAACUUCAAGAGUCCUUGGUUGUGUUGUGUGGUUAUUUAUUUUGAUGUUAUGUGUUGAGAUGUUUUGUGUAGUGGCGCAGUUUUAGUAUAGUGUCUUGUGAUGUGUUGUUUUGUUUCAUGGGUUGUGUUGUCAUGCAUGUGUUUAUGUUGUGAUGUCUUGUUUUUUAAUGUGUUGUGUCGUCAUGUUUGAUGUUAUGUGUCGUUAUGUGCUCUGUUACCUCGUAUUGUGAUGGGUUGUUUUCUUCUGUGUGGUGUGUCGUGUGUGUGUGUGUGUGUGUUUGUGUUGUGAUGUGUUGUGUUGUAUCAUGUCCUUUCGCGUGACCUCUUUACUUGAUUUAUUCACUUAGUGGGUAAGUGAGUCUAAAGGUGAGUUUGGUUCCUCCAGAGUCAUUGUUAACAUGAAACAAAGUCAGUGUAGGACCCAUUUUCUUUUUGUUUUUUUUAGGGAAAGGACAUCCAUUGAGAAGAAACCCCCAGAAGAGCCGAGCACGAGACAGAAGACGUAGGAGGACCAAACAUACGAGAGACAAGCCCAUGAAGAGAGCGACGAAGAAAAGAUGAAUGAUGGAUCUACUGUGUGUUUCUGGGAAUUUGAAGGUAAAUAACUCUAUAGAUACUUAACAGGUUCGGCUUUUAAGAAAAAAAACAACACAAUUUUAACUGAAGGGCUGAAAUUCAUGUUUGUUUCAGGUAACUUCAAAGAGUCAAACGCCUAAAAUGACUCCAGAGUAGGCCAAAGAUGACGACCAACUAUAAGUAAGGUAAGUAAAGUUUGAUGAAUGUGUUUGUUUCAUUAAACUGUUGUCUUUAUGUGCUGCUCUAUUGACCUGCAUUUUCUUCAUCUUUCAUCUCCUUAUAUUUAUCUCUAUACAAUAGACACUCGCAAGGAUGAGAGUAAAGAUGAUAAGCAGCCGAAAGAAGAAGAUAAGAUGAGAACAGCAGCAAAGAUGGUGAACAUGGACAAGAGUUUCAGUGCAUGAAGGUACACUGACUGCAUCCUCUGCUCUUUUCUUUCAGAAUGUGAUCACUUCCUAAAGAUUGGUCUCUACAUACUUUGGUGGAUAUCUGUUAAAGGAUAUUGUAUUUUAAUAUUUUUGUCUUUUCAUUAUAGUUUAACAAGUGUAAGAGUGGCCUCCUAACGCAGCAGUUAUCCAGCUGGUGACUGAAAAGGAAAGAAGAAACUCUGGAAGGGGAGCAGCCAUGUUGACACGGAGGCUGCACCACAUUUUGAACAUGCAAAUA